rnacentral:rRNA from 1 species
CCCUUAGAUGUUCUGGGCCGCACGCGCGCUACACUGAUGCAUUCAACGAGUCUAAAACCUGGUCUGAUAGGGCUGGGUAAUCUUUUGAAAGCGCAUCGUGAUUGGGAUAGAUGAUUGCAAUUCUUCAUCUUCAACGAGGAAUGCCUAGUAAACGCAAGUCAUCAGCUUGCAUUGAUUACGUCCCUGCCCUUUGUACACACCGCCCGUCGCUCCUACCGAUUGAAUGAUCCGAUGAAUACCAUGGAUUGAGAGUACGAAUGGGUUCGCUCAUUUCUGCUGCUCGAGAAGUGGAGUAAAUCUUAUCAUUUAGAGGAAGGAGAAGUCGUAACA